AUUGAACGCUGGCGGCAGGCCUAACACAUGCAAGUCGAGCGGAUGAAGGGAGCUUUCUCCUGGAUUCAGCGGCGGACGGGUGAGUAAUGCCUAGGAAUCUGCCUGGUAGUGGGGGAUAACGUCCGGAAACGGGCGCUAAUACCGCAUACGUCCUGAGGGAGAAAGUGGGGGAUCUUCGGACCUCACGCUAUCAGAUGAGCCUAGGUCGGAUUAGCUAGUUGGUGUGGUAAAGGCCUACCAAGGCGACGAUCCGUAACUGGUCUGAGAGGAUGAUCAGUCACACUGGAACGGAGACAGGGUCCAGAGACCUACGGGAGGCAGCAGUGGGGAAUAGUGGACAAUGGGGGAAAAGAUGAUGCAAGAAUGCGGCGUGUGUGAAGAAGGAGUACGGAUUGGAAAGAACUGUAAGGUGGGAUAAAGGGCAGUAAGUUAAUACGAUGAGGUAUUGACGUUACUAACAGAAGAAGCACCGGCUAACUUCGUG
rnacentral:rRNA from 1 species